rnacentral:lncRNA from 1 species
UAAUUCUGAAAAGGUUAGGGUGUUGAUACAAAAAAAAAAAAAAGAAAGAAAUAGGAGAAUCAUUUGGGUUUCAUAUUCAAAUUAAACUCUAAAUCGAUGGAGCUGGUUUUGAUAGGGAUGCAGUAGGCACAGGUGGCUGUAGAAGUCCCAAUGAAGGAUCAUAGAUGGAGAGGGAAACCUAGGGAUGUUGGGAGAUCACUGUAAAUUACUAAAUCGCUCAAAAAGCCACCAAAACAAGGCAGGCUUGCUUGAUUAGUGGAAGUGUGAGAAUUGCCUCAGGUCCUGGGUGGGGGAUGGAAUGAGCCUUCCAUUCAGAUUCAGACCGGGGGCCAGAGUUUGAGGACCGCCCUUUUGCUGAUUUGAAUACACACUUUACCGGAUGCUAAGGAGGAGCUACUACUUGAAGAAUGAGGAGGUCUUUUCCAACCCCCACACCCCUUGGAUAAUAAAACUGUAGCCCAUUGGAUCCGAUCCUGGGGGCAGAGCUUCUAUGUCUGCCCGCUUGCAUCUCUCCCAAGCGUCCUAUCCUCAUAAAUCUCUUUCUUGCCUAUCACUUUGUCUCUCGCUGAAUUCCUUCUGCGCAGAGACUUGAACCCGAACCUCAGGGAGGCCAGACACUGAGUGAGUGAUUCGAAUUUAAAACUAUGGGUUCAAGUCCCAAUCUGGGAUUAGGCUGGGUUCAAGUCCUAGCGUGUGGGUUCAAGUCCCAGUCUGUGUUGUGCCUCGGUUCAGGCCAUUAGUGCUGUCCGUUUCAGUUUGAUGCAGAGUAAAGGAACAAACUGCCACUUAAUUGGAAGAGAAGACAGCAUCCUUGCUGAUUUGUUCCUUUUUUAAAAACGAAAGACUAUUUGGAGUUCUGGAAAUCUGAGUGUUGGGAUGGAGAGAACAUUCUGGUAAAGCAGGUGCCUUCUGAGUUUACCCAGCUCAGAGGUGGGAUUAAGGGAUCAGAAUAAGAGCAAAAGGCCCUUCAUGGUACUGCCUGCCCUCUGCAUCCGCGGAUUCAGUUUUGCAAAAUUUCCAUCUGCGGACAAUUGAAUCUGUGGAUUCGAGACCGCCAAUAUGGAGGGUCAGCUAUAUUCAUGUACUACAAACACCCUUUCAAUAAAGGGCUUGGGCAUCGUGGCUUUGGUACCUGUGGGUCCUGGAGUCACCCCCACACACACACACCCCUCCCCAUGGAUGCUGAGAUGCCGAUAUCUCCACUCCCAGCGCUUCCUCCCAGACAGGGGAAGGGCAAGUCCCUGGGUGGUUUUCGUGGUGUUUUAAAAAUGCAUACAAAACGCUAAGCCGCCAGCUCUGUGUGUUGUAGAUGGAGACGAGACAUCCAGACUUCUGAGCUUCCUCAGGGGAAGAUAACUGUGCAACCCUUCGGGAUGCUGCGAAAGUUGGAGCUGGACUGAGGGGGAGACAGAGAGAUGCUGGCGUGAAGGGUAAGUGAGAACUAAAGCCGGGUGCUCGGCAGCCGGGUUCUUUCACGUCUGAGUUCCUCGGUGUGCAAGCUGUGUGUGCUCUGGAUGUACUGCUGUGCACGUGAACUCUGUCAGCCAGGGCUCUGGAGCAUGCUUACCUGUUUCCAGGUUUCUGAGGGAUUCUGUUACAGGGCAGUGGCAGUGGGGCCAAGCCAGGAUCAGGAGGCCUCAGGAGCCCCAGAGCGUAAACCAUUACUGCACACAUUUAUGGACUAUGAUUCAGGCCUGGCACUUCGAUGGGUUAUGUCAUUUAAUUCUCAUCUUAGAGACGGGACGCCAGGGAGCCCUAAGAACCUGGCUGAUCACUGAGAGGAAGGUCAUAAUGCGUCCCAUCCCAACGUAAAAGCCUUUUCUCUCUUCUCCAACAUUCCCCGCUUGCCUUUCUUCUGGUCCCAACGUUCCAUCUAUUUUUUUCUUAAAAAAAAAAAAAUUGUUUUGUUUGUUUUGCUUUUUAGGGCCACACCUGCAGCAUAUGGAGGUUCCCUGAGUCACGGCCACAGCAAUGCCAGAUCCAAGCGACACCUGUGACCUACACCACAGCUCAUGGCAAUGCCGGAUCUUUAAACCACUGAGCGAGGCCAGGGAUCGAACCUGCAACCUCAUGGUUCCUAGUCAGAUUCGUUUCUGCUGAGCCACAAUGGGAACUCCUCUUCUAAAAAAUUUUUAAAUUUGAUUUAUUAAUUUUUACAAUUUUUUUUUAUUAAGGAAUAGUUGGUGUACAGUGUUGUGCCAAUUUCUGCUGUAUGGCAAAGUGACCCAGUCAUACAUAUAUAUGGUUUUUUUCUCAUACUAUCUUCCAAAAUGUUCUGUUUUUUUUUCAUGGAAUCACAAGUCUCUGUGUGAAAGGGAAGGAGCACCAAGGGGAUGUCUGCAUAGGUCACUGUGGCGGAUCAUUGACCUAAAUGGCAUCACAGUGUCCUGGCUCUUCCAGAACCUUGCCCUGUCCUCUCAACCUGGGACGUCUGCUUUCCCUCCUCUUGCAUUGGGCAGGACUCAGGGAUGGGGACUGCCUUUGCAGAGAAGGUGGCAGAGGUAACACUGAGUGACCUCAAAGCAGAGAUCAGCGAAGCAGAUGAAGCUCCCUGCUGGCCCUCCUGCUCCGGGCCCUCCUGCCUGUGAGACCAGCUACCAUGUGGUAAGGCAGCCCAGGCCCCCAGGAAGCCCCCCUUACUCCUGCCCCCCAAGGCGCCACUGACAUAUAAGGGAGACUUGGUGAGAGGGGUGGCGGCUGCAGCCCCCCCAGCCUUGAAGCUGCUCCACUGGUGCCAGUGGAGUGCUGCCCGGACAGUGAACCGUUCCCUCUGAGUCCUGCCCCUUCCGCAGAUGCAGGAGAGGAUAAACACUGUCACUGAUUUGAAUGAUCUUAUUUAAACCCCCUGUGAUGCCCUUUAAGGUGGAUGUCGUUACACAAAUUAUAGGUUAGAGAAUGGAAGUCAAGUCAGAUGAAGUGACUCACCCAAGGCCAUGUGAUGAUGAACUGGGAUUUGAACCCAGGGCUCUCUGACACCAAUCUUGUGAGAUCCAGCUGUGCCCCAGUGCCUGGUCCUCCUGGACCAGGAGCUGGGGCCUUUGCUGCCCUGCAGACAUAACUGCUCUCAGAGACGCAGGCCCAUUGGGAGUAGGAGGACGAGAGAGCACAACUUUGGAGAACUAACUUUACGUGGUUUGUUGUGACUCAGUUUCCCUAACUAGAAUCCUAGUUAAACCCUCCUGGUCCCGCCUUGAACAUUCAGUUCCCAAGGGAAGCUGCCUGCCUUCCCCCCAGGAGCUGAGAUCACGUGGUAUCUGCUCACGUUACAGGAGAUUCGUAUCAUGUAAAAUAAUAACCACGUUUCUAGGUCACCCGCAGAGUGACUUCAGGCUCUGGGAGCCCAGGGCCUCAUUCUUUAGCACAGGCUCUAACCUCUGAUAGACAAUGAAUAAAUGCAAGUUAAAAAAAUACCAAAGAGCUGAAAGUGUGGAUUUUCUUGAGAAGGAUGGUGGUAGGGUAAGGACGUGCAAAAUUCCAGGUAGAGAUACUGAAAUCUUGUCUAGCUAAAAGUUUGUCUUCUGAGGUCAAGUUUUCUUUGUCACUUUCUUUGUCUUUUCCUGUUAGAUAAAACAUCUUUGGGUUUGACUUUGAUAAAUAAAGAAAUUCCAACAAAAUGCAACAACAAACUAAACAAUAACAGGAAGAGGAGACACUCUUUCUCAGUGAAUAGUUAUUCAAGUGGAAACUAUUUUCUGAUGUGCGACAUUGGAGAAUUGACUUUGGUAUGCAUGUGGAAAUGUGGAAAUGUGACGUGUAACGUCUGCACUCAGCCUGUUCAGGCUUUGAUGGGUGGCUUUGUGUCUUUCAACUUGAAUUUAGUUGUCACUGCAGCUGCUUGAGCACUGGGAACAGUUCUUCACUCCACUUGAGCCUGUGCUUUGUAGGUGUAGGACUCCAGUAAUAAUGGGGGGGGGGGGAGCAGCACGACCAGAAUAUGAGGAAUUUUUUUAAAAAAGAAGUAUAAAUAAAUGCAUGCAAAAUGUUAGGCAAGUUUGGAAUUCCUGCUGUGGCU